rnacentral:lncRNA from 1 species
CAUCUACAACACUUCAAUCACACACAAUCAAGCUACAUUGUUCAAAGAGUCAUCAAAAACCCAUAGGUUUAACAUAUACCCUAACAUGCAUUCUACCCCUUAAAACUUCAUAAAACUUGUUUAAAUCAUACAUUGAGCUUAAGAUCGGCUCUUACCUCUUGAAGAUCGAGGGUUGAGGAGAUCUAAACUUGGAGAUGGGAGAAGUUCCAACUUUUGGUCUCCAAGCUCCAAAACUCGUUCUAAGCUCAAAGAUCUUCAAAACCAAAGUUAUAAACUUGUAAAGAUCAUGGAAAAAGGAAGGAAAAACUCAAGAUUGGGGAAGGAUGGCGGAAUGCUCACCUUGGCCGAAAUAGGGAGAAAAAGCUCGCCCAUUUUCGGCUAAGGGACCCUUUUAUAGUGGCUGGCCAGACCACGUUCGGGGGCCGAAUGUGCCUCCGCAUCCAUGCAAAUGUUCGGCGGCCGAACAUGAGGUUCGGCGGCCGAACCUUGACUUCCCUCACUCAUGCUUUCGGGGGCCUAACGUGCCUCCAAAA